CGUUGCUUCUGACCAAAUUACUAAUUUUAUGUGGACACAACUGAGAUAAUGGCCUAAAAAUCAUAGAAUUUACUGUCUUACCGUGUACCUUAUCCCACAGAACCACGUGGCCUUACAGAGAGUUGAAACUGUCUGAAAACUGAAUGGAAGUAAGACCACAGGAUAAGAUUCAAAUGCUCAGAAAAGAUUUUAGAUUAAGAUUAUUGUGUGGAUUAUAUCAAACUAGAAAAAAAGAAGACAGGACCGGCCAGUGGUCUGCAACCUGAGGCAGAUUUUCUCAUAUUUGGAAUCUAAGAGAGGGCCAGCAGGAUCUCCUUUCAGCCCUACGUCGGGAGGGCCCAAGGAACAGAAGUACAUGUUCACUGUAUGGGCCAACGUGUGUUUACACAAAUUUCAUCUCAGCUUUGAAAAUGCUGCUAUUAGUUUGUACCCUUGGUAAUCUGGAUUUUCCCCCCUAUUGAAAUGAUAUUUUCAUACUUAAAGUGGUUAUUGAUAUUUACCUUAACAUGCUAGAUUCAAUUUUAUUUGUUAUUAAAUUG